AGUCAUAUGCUUGUCUCAAAGAUUAAGCCAUGCAUGUCUCAGUGCAAGCCGCAUUAAGGUGAAACCGCGAAAGGCUCAUUAAAUCAGUUGUGGUUCCUUAGAUCGUACCCAAGUUACUUGGAUAACUGUGGUAAUUCUAGAGCUAAUACAUGCCGACAGAGUUCCGACCGUCGCGGCGCCCUCGGGCGUCGCUCGCGGGAGGAACGCUUUUAUUAGAUCAAAACCGGCCCGUCGCGGCGCGCUUCGUGCGCGUCCCGAUCGCGGCCCGCGCAAAGACCUGGUGACUCUGAAUAACUUCGAGCUGAUCGCACGGUCUCCGUACCGGCGACGCAUCUUUCAAAUGUCUGCCUUAUCAACUGUCGACGGUAGGUUCCAUGCCUACCGUGGUGGUAACGGGUAACGGGGAAUCAGGGUUCGAUUCCGGAGAGGGAGCCUGAGAAACGGCUACCACAUCCAAGGAAGGCAGCAGGCGCGCAAAUUACCCACUCCCGGAACGGGGAGGUAGUGACGAAAAAUAACGAUACGGGACUCAUCCGAGGCCCCGUAAUCG
rnacentral:rRNA from 1 species